rnacentral:rRNA from 1 species
GACAAACGCUGGCGGGGUGCGUGAGACAUGCAAGUCGAACGAGAAGCCUCCGAGCUUGCUUGGAGGUUUUCUAGUGGCGGACGGCUGAGUAACGCGUAGAUGACCUGCCCGGAAGUGGGGAAUAACUGCCCGAAAGGGUGGCUAAUACCGCAUGUGGUCGACGAUUCGCUUCGUCGUCUAAAGGAGUAAUCCGCUUCCGGAGGGGUCUGCGUCCGAUUAGCUAGUUGGUGGGGUAACGGCUCACCAAGGCGACGAUCGGUAGCUGGUCUGAGAGGAUGAUCAGCCAGACUGGGACUGAGAACGGCCCAGACUCCUACGGGAGGCAGCAGUCGGGAAUUUUGCCCAAUGGACGAAAGUCUGAUGCAGCAACUCCGCGUGAGGGAUGAAGGCUCUAGGGUCGUAAACCUCUUUUCUCAGGGAAGAUCCAAGACGGUACCUGAGGAAUAAGCCACGGCUAACUACGUGC